CUGAUAAUACUACGAAGUCAUUUGAAACAACUUAUCAUUUUAUUUAACAAUUUAUACGUAAUAUUCAGUCAGAACAAUUCAAGAGAUCAGUCACGCUAUAAGGUUAUGGUUUAUAUUUUGUACCUGGUAGGAGUAGGGGCAAAAGCUCCAGGAUAAUAAAUACAUAUACAAUUACUAUAUGAAGGGAAAAUGAAAUCCUCACAGUUAUCAGCUUCCAAGUCCUAUUAAAAAUACACUAGUGUUCCAUUUUGUCUUAAACACAUCAAAUAUUUUGAUGUCAGGAAAAUCAACAAAAUUGUUAAUACUACUAAUUGCGGGUUCUGUAUCUAUGAGAAAGGUUGUUGUCGUCAAAAUCCUCUGGAACUUGGAUUGUGUCACAUGAGCUAAAGAUACACAGACUUAAGAAGAAAUGGGCAAACCUCACAAGUUGCUGUCGACAAUAACAACACCUGCACUAUCAAUCCAACAGACACCGGCCAUAACAUGGUCAUGUAAUCCUGAAAAAUUUAAAAGGGGCCAUGGCCAGCUAACGGGCAAAAACCUUUUUAAAUAAAAAACGAGAUUGCUCUGAGAAGUACUCGAACAUACCAGGUAUGUUCAGAACUUCUGGGAGGACUUGUGCCAGUUUGAAGUAACUGGCCAACACAUCAUGCAAACUGUACCCAAUGAAAGGGUCUAAUUAACAGAAGCCCCCAUAUAUAGUUUCUUGCUACUUCUUCUCAUUAGCUCAACCCUUUACAAAGUCGUAGUAGCUUCAAUAAGAAAAAAAUUGUUUUGACCUCUAAGAGUGUGAUUUCCGUGACCUACAUGAAUAAAGUGAUUUUGAUUUGAUUAAACCAGUUCGUUUACGAAUAAAAGGGCAAUAGACUCAUUGGAUCGGAUAUCUGAACAGUAGAUUUUUUGUGGUUCCCGGUGGAGAGAAAAGGAAAUUAUAUAUAGGAAUAGCUUUAUCCACAAAACAUUCCUUAAAAGAGGGCUCUCUUAACAGUAAAGAUGAAACUCUAAAGAUUAAGAGUUCAAGGAGACCUUGACAAAGUUACCAAAUUUUUA